rnacentral:rRNA from 1 species
CCGCAGUGGGGGUGCUAUAAUGCAAGUCGAGCGGACAGAUGGGAGCUUGCUCCCUGAUGUUAGCGGCGGACGGGUGAGUAACACGUGGGUAACCUGCCUGUAAGACUGGGAUAACUCCGGGAAACCGGGGCUAAUACCGGAUGGUUGUCUGAACCGCAUGGUUCAGACAUAAAAGGUGGCUUCGGCUACCACUUACAGAUGGACCCGCGGCGCAUUAGCUAGUUGGUGAGGUAACGGCUCACCAAGGCGACGAUGCGUAGCCGACCUGAGAGGGUGAUCGGCCACACUGGGACUGAGACACGGCCCAGACUCCUACGGGAGGCAGCAGUAGGGAAUCUUCCGCAAUGGACGAAAGUCUGACGGAGCAACGCCGCGUGAGUGAUGAAGGUUUUCGGAUCGUAAAGCUCUGUUGUUAGGGAAGAACAAGUGCCGUUCAAAUAGGGCGGCACCUUGACGGUACCUAACCAGAAAGCCACGGCUAACUACGUGCCAGCAGCCGCGGUAAUACGUAGGUGGCAAGCGUUGUCCGGAAUUAUUGGGCGUAAAGGGCUCGCAGGCGGUUUCUUAAGUCUGAUGUGAAAGCCCCCGGCUCAACCGGGGAGGGUCAUUGGAAACUGGGGAACUUGAGUGCAGAAGAGGAGAGUGGAAUUCCACGUGUAGCGGUGAAAUGCGUAGAGAUGUGGAGGAACACCAGUGGCGAAGGCGACUCUCUGGUCUGUAACUGACGCUGAGGAGCGAAAGCGUGGGGAGCGAACAGGAUUAGAUACCCUGGUAGUCCACGCCGUAAACGAUGAGUGCUAAGUGUUAGGGGGUUUCCGCCCCUUAGUGCUGCAGCUAACGCAUUAAGCACUCCGCCUGGGGAGUACGGUCGCAAGACUGAAACUCAAAGGAAUUGACGGGGCCCGCACAGCGGUGGAGCAUGUGGUUUAAUUCGAAGCACGCGAGAACUUACCAGUCUGACAUCCUCUGACAUCUAGAGAUAGGACGUCCCCUCGGGGCAGAAUGACAGUGGUGCAUGUGUCUCCACCUCCUGUCUGGGAUGUUGGGUUAUUCCCCCACAAGCGCACCUUGAUUUUAAUUGUCAGCAUCAUUGGAUCUAGUGACUCGCGGCACCGAGAGUUGGUGAGUCAUCACAUGCUGUCUGGUCUACACCUGCCGUCAUGCGACAUGACGAACCCAGUAGCAUUCCACGUUCAUCG